rnacentral:rRNA from 1 species
GCGUGGAGUAUGUGGUUUAAUUCGAUGCAACGCGAAGAACCUUACCUGGUCUUGACAUCCCGGAAGACCCUUAGGAAACUAGGGGGUGCUUCCAUCUGGAAGAAUCUGGAGACAGGUGCUGCAUGGCUGUCGUCAGCUCGUGUCGUGAGAUGUUGGGUUAAGUCCCGCAACGAGCGCAACCCUUGCCUUUAGUUGCCAGCAGUUCGGCUGGGCACUCUAAAGGGACUGCCGGUGUUAAACCGGAGGAAGGUGGGGAUGACGUCAAGUCCUCAUGGCCUUUAUGACCAGGGCUACACACGUACUACAAUGGCCGAUACAAAGGGCAGCGACACUGCGAGGUGAAGCCAAUCCCGUAAAAUCGGUCUCAGUCCGGAUUGGAGUCUGCAACUCGACUCCAUGAAGUUGGAAUCGCUAGUAAUCGUGGAUCAGCAUGCCACGGUGAAUACGUUCCCGGGCCUU